GACGAACGCUGGCGGCGUGCUUAACACAUGCAAGUCGAACGGAAAGGCCCUGCUUGCAGGGUACUCGAGUGGCGAACGGGUGAGUAACACGUGGGUGAUCUGCCCUGCACUUCGGGAUAAGCCUGGGAAACUGGGUCUAAUACCGGAUAGGAGCCAUUUUUAGUGUGAUGGUUGGAAAGUUUUUUCGGUGUAGGAUGAGCUCGCGGCCUAUCAGCUUGUUGGUGGGGUAAUGGCCUACCAAGGCGGCGACGGGUAGCCGGCCUGAGAGGGUGGACGGCCACAUUGGGACUGAGAUACGGCCCAGACUCCUACGGGAGGCAGCAGUGGGGAAGAUUGCACCAUGGGCGCAAGCCUGAUGCAGAGACGCCGCGUGGGGGAUGACGGCCUUCGGGUUGUAAACUCCUUUCGCUAGGGACGAAGCUUUUUGUGACGGUACCUAGAUAAGAAGCACCGGCUAACUACGUG
rnacentral:rRNA from 1 species